UAAGGAAUAUUGGUCAAUGGACGCAAGUCUGAACCAGCCAUGCCGCGUGAAGGAUGAAGGUCCUCUGGAUUGUAAACUUCUUUUAUCUGGGACGAAAACGGGAUUUUUAUCUCAAUUGACGGUACCAGAGGAAUAAGCACCGGCUAACUCCGUGCCAGCAGCCGCGGUAAUACGGAGGGUGCGAGCGUUAUCCGGAUUUACUGGGUUUAAAGGGUGCGUAGGUGGGCUUAUAAGUCAGUGGUGAAAUCUCCGAGCUUAACUUGGAAACUGCCGUUGNUACUAUAGGUCUUGAAUUGUCUGGAGGUAAGCGGAAUAUGUCAUGUAGCGGUGAAAUGCUUAGAUAUGACAUAGAACACCAAUUGCGAAGGCAGCUUACUACAUAUAAAUUGACGCUGAGGCACGAAAGCGUGGGGAUCAAACA
rnacentral:rRNA from 1 species